AGCAGUAGCCACGGUAAUACAGAGGGUGCGAGCGUUAAUCGGAUUUACUGGGCGUAAAGCGUGCGUAGGCGGCUUUUUAAGUCGGAUGUGAAAUCCCUGAGCUUAACUUAGGAAUUGCAUUCGAUACUGGGAAGCUAGAGUAUGGGAGAGGAUGGUAGAAUUCCAGGUGUAGCGGUGAAAUGCGUAGAGAUCUGGAGGAAUACCGAUGGCGAAGGCAGCCAUCUGGCCUAAUACUGACGCUGAGGUACGAAAGCAUGGGGAGCAAACAGGAUUAGAUACCCGCGUAGUCCCUGUCUCUUAUAA
rnacentral:rRNA from 1 species